CCUGUGACCCUCCACUCUGCAGCCCUUGGCAGCCACCAUUCUACUCCCUGCUUCUAUGAAUUUUGACUUUUUUAGGUUACACGUAUGAGUGAGAUCAUGCAGUAUUUGUCCUUCUGUGUCUGGUGUAUUUCACUUAGCAUAUUGUGUUCUAGGUUCAUCCAUGUUGUCAAAAAUAGCAGGAUUUUCUUCUUUUUUAAGGCU
rnacentral:lncRNA from 1 species